UACGGAGGGUGCGAGCGUUGUCCGGAAUCACUGGGCGUAAAGGGCGCGUAGGCGGCCUGAUAAGUAGGGGGGUGAAAUCCUGCGGCUUAACCGCAGGGCUGCCUUCUAAACUGUCAGGCUUGAGCACAGUAGAGGCAGGUGGAAUUCCUGGUGUAGCGGUGAAAUGCGCAGAUAUCAGGAGGAACACCGGUGGCGAAGGCGGGUCUCUGGGCCGUAACUGACGCUGAGGAGCGAAAGCGUGGGGAGCGAACAGG
rnacentral:rRNA from 1 species